UACGGGGGGAGCAAGCGUUGUUCGGAUUUACUGGGCGUAAAGGGCGCGUAGGCGGUCAGCACAAGUCAGUUGUGAAAUCUCCGGGCUUAACUCGGAAAGGUCAACUGAUACUGUGCGGCUAGAGUGCGGAAGGGGCAACUGGAAUUCUUGGUGUAGCGGUGAAAUGCGUAGAUAUCGAGAGGAACACCUGCGGCGAAGGCGGGUUGCUGGGCUGACACUGACGCUGAUGCGCGAAAGCCAGGGGAGCGAACGGG
rnacentral:rRNA from 1 species